rnacentral:rRNA from 1 species
GACGAACGCUGGCGGCGUGCUUAACACAUGCAAGUCGAACGGAAAGGCCCCUUUGGGGGUACUCGAGUGGCGAACGGGUGAGUAACACGGGAGUAACCUGCCCUUGACUUCGGGAUAACUUCAUGAAACUGGGGCUAAUACCGGAUAGGAAUCCUUGCUUCCUGGUGGGGGUUGGAAAGCUUCGGCGGUUUUGGAUGGACUCGCGGCUUAUCAGCUUGUUGGUGGGGUAGUGGCUUACCAAGGCUUUGACGGGUAGCCGGCCUGAGAGGGCGACCGGCCACAUUGGGACUGAGAUACGGCCCCGACUCCUACGGGAGGCAGCAGUGGGGAAUAUUGCACAAGGGGCGGAAGCCUGAUGCAGAAACGCCGCGGGCGGGAUGACGGCCUUCGGGUUGUAAACCGCUUUCAGCAGGGGCGAAGCUUGUGGUGACGGUACCUGCAGAAGAAGCACCGGCUAACUACGUG